UACGUAGGGGGCAAGCGUUGUCCGGAAUCAUUGGGCGUAAGAGCGCGUAGGCGGUCCGGUAAGUCCGCUCUGAAAGUCCGGGGCUCAACCCCGGGAGGCGGGCGGAUACUGUCGGGCUAGAGUCCGGAAGAGGCGAGUGGAAUUCCUGGUGUAGCGGUGAAAUGCGCAGAUAUCAGGAGGAACACCAAUGGCGAAGGCAGCUCGCUGGGACGGUACUGACGCUGAGGCGCGAAAGCGUGGGGAGCAAACAGGA
rnacentral:rRNA from 1 species